GAUGAAGAACGCAGCGAAAUGCGAUAAGUAAUGUGAAUUGCAGAAUUCAGUGAAUCAUCGAAUCUUUGAACGCACAUUGCGCCCGCCAGUAUUCUGGCGGGCAUGCCUGUUCGAGCGUCAUUUCAACCAUCAAGCCCCCGGCUUGUGUUGGGGACCUGCGGCUGCCGCGGGCCCUGAAAAGCAGUGGCGGGCUCGCUGUCACACCGAGCGUAGUAGCAUACAUCUCGCUCUGGGCGUGCUGCGGGUUCCGGCCGUUAAACCACCUUCAUAACCCAAGGUUGACCUCGGAUCAGGUAGGAAGACCCGCUGAACUUAAGCAUAUCAAUAAGCGGAGGA
rnacentral:misc_RNA from 1 species